rnacentral:rRNA from 1 species
AGUGAACGCUGGCGGCAGGCCUAACACAUGCAAGUCGAGCGGCAGCGGGUCCCCGCGAGGGGAUGCCGGCGAGCGGCGGACGGGUGAGGAACACAUCGGAAUCUGCCUGGUUGUGGGGGAUAACGCAGGGAAACUUACGCUAAUACCGCAUGAGACCCUGAGUCGACGGACUGGGGGUGAAAGUGAGGGACCUUCGGGCCUCACGCGACCAGAUGAGCCGAUGUCGGAUAGCUAGUUGGCGGGGUAACGGCCCGCCAAGGCGACGAUCCGUAGCUGGUCUGAGAGGAUGAUCAGCCACACUGGGGCUGAGACACGGCCCAGACUCCUACGGGAGGCAGCAGUGGGGAAUCUUGGACAAUGGGCGCAAGCCU